rnacentral:rRNA from 1 species
CAGCAGCCGCGGGAAUACGUAGGGUGCAAGCGUUAAUCGGAAUUACUGGGCGUAAAGCGUGCGCAGGCGGCUUCUUAAGUCGGAUGUGAAAUCCCUGAGCUUAACUUAGGAAUUGCAUUUGAUACUGGGAAGCUAGAGUAUGGGAGAGGAUGGUAGAAUUCCAGGUGUAGCGGUGAAAUGCGUAGAGAUCUGGAGGAAUACCGAUGGCGAAGGCAGCCAUCUGGCCUAAUACUGACGCUGAGGUACGAAAGCAUGGGGAGCAAACAGGAUUAGAGACCCCAGUAGUCCCUGUCUCUUAUAC